rnacentral:tRNA from 1 species
UCCGGGGUAGUUCAGCGGCAGAACGUUCGGCUCUAACCGGAUGGGCGCUGGUUCGAAUCCAGCCCCCGGAC